rnacentral:lncRNA from 1 species
UAAAUGAAUUAGUACAUACGGGUAACUAGUCCUGAAAUUACCAUGCUCAUGAUAAUGCUUUCUUAGCUCAUAUGUGACUGAAUUUCCUAUUGCAAUUAGGCUAGUUAAUCAACAUAACUUACUGAUAACCCUUAUGUUUAAAUUCCUCGCAUUCAUCCUGCAUCAAAAACUCCUUUUCAAAAUACAUGGCUAGAAAUUUAUCGAACUUAGUCUCAUAAAUCACAUUGGAUCACUUCUAAUCUAUCAAGGUCGAUAGAUCCCAUCUAGAUGCAACCCUAUUCCAAAAUGAACCUACUGCAGCCAAUCCGCACCACAAGGAUCCAAAUGGUUGGGGCCCAAGUUUACAUGCUCGUCAAAC